rnacentral:piRNA from 1 species
UAAAAAGCCCUGAUGAUGCUCCACGGUAA